rnacentral:misc_RNA from 1 species
UACAGAGGCCCCAAGCGUUGUUCGGAAUUACUGGGCGUAAAGCGGGUGUAGGCGGUUACUCAAGUCAGAUGUGAAAGCCCGGGGCUCAACCCCGGAACUGCAUUUGAAACUGGGUGGCUGGAGUGCAGUAGAGGAAGAUGGAAUUCCAGGUGUAGGGGUGAAAUCCGUAGAUAUCUGGAGGAAUACCAAUGGCGAAGGCAGUCUUCUGGUCUGUAACUGACGCUGAGACCAAAAAGCGUGGGUAGCAAACAGG